AUCUCUAUAAAUCCCCCUGAUUCAACUAAUAUUAGACGCCCCACAGAUAAGAUGCUGUAGAGUUACAGAGGGAAGUUGAAGAUAACUUUGCCUUCAAAGACUAAGGAAUAAAACAAAGAUAAAACAGACAAUAAAAGCAAACCAUGAUAGGUGCCAUGUGAAAAGUGGCAGAGUACUGCAGGGAAUGAAAGAAUCGUGUAUAUCUGUCUUGGGGAAAAGGAAAGAAAGGCAGUAUGAAGGAGUAGGCAUUUAGGAUUGACCUUGAAGGAGAUGGGGAGUGUUUUACAGCAAGAGGGAUCGCAUGAGAAUAUAUAUGAAGGUGAAUCAGUGAAAGGUGUGUUGGGGAAAAAGUAAAGACUCCAGGAUAUGUUGAGAAGUAGUGAGACAAAGGAGUAUGGGGUCUAAGAUACUAAAUGGAUGAAUUUGUAUUUAAUUCAGUAUUUUGAGUUUUCAGGGUUCAGAAAUUUAGGGGAAGAAAAGGAUUUUUUUUUUUCUUUGUGCUAUUGAUUUAUCUGUGAGGAGAAGCAGAAAUUAGAGGUAGAAAUACUGACAGAUCUACUGUAGGCCAGGUAAAGGUAAUGAUGAGUCUGACCUAAAGGGACAGCGAGGGAAUUUAAAAGAGCAUGGUUGAGAGAUGAUGUGCAUGCAGAAUCUGUAGAAUUUGGCAACUGAUUGAUUAAUUGUGGGUAGGAAGAGAGAAAUCAAAGAUAGUGGAGGUUUUGAGUUUGUAAAUAAUUGUAAGAGAGAAAAGAGACAAUUACAAAGGAAAGAAGAAGCAGCUACUUCUUAAGAGAAGAUCAGUUUAGAUUUGAACAUUUUAAGGAUUCGAAGGAUUGUCAAGACAGCCAGAGGGACAUGAACACUGGUAAAUUAGAAAUAAAGGUUUUGUAAUAUGGGAAAGGGGACUGAACUAGAAAGUAGACUCAUAAAUAAUCAGCCUAGGAGUGAUAUCACUGUGAGAUAAAAGAAGAAAACAAAUGUCAGAAUCUGGCAAACACCCUCUUUAGAGUAUUGCUACUCAAAACGUGGUCAAUAGCCCAGCAGCACUGACGUGAGGAUGUUACUUAGAAACUCAGAAUCUCAGGCCCCGCCCCAGACCUUCUGAACCAGCGUCUUCAACUUAAAAAAAAAACCUGAAGAGAUUUGUGCCACAUCAAAAAAUUUGAGAAUCUCUGAUCUAGAUGAGCAAAGCCAGCAAAGAAACGGUGGGGUGGGGAGGUGCAGAAAGUGGGAGGAGAAUUGGGUAAUGCAGAGGUAAACUGGUGUUUCACAAAAGGAUGGCUGGAAGGAGUGUUGAUCAAGAUCCAAAACCACAGAGGUUGAAAAGCACAAGGAAAGAAGGUAUGCUUGCAUUUUGUGAUUAGGUAGUACGGUCUUUAAGACCACAUUUUUCUCAUUGAAAGCCUGGAAAGAAAGAUCCCCUUUGUGGUCAAGGUUAGUCUAGGGACCCCAUCUUCCCCAGUUCCCACAUAUAUGGGACAUAUUAAGAUAAGUAGAUAGAUUUGACAGUGGGAGAAAGCAGUUCUCUUCCAGUUGCUUCUAUUUUCUCAGCAAAAUGAGGAGUAAGAUUAUUUCGGCAGACUGCUAAUUGUCCAUCACAAUUUAGUCCUCCCUUCUCCCUGAACACACAGACUGCUUUUCUCAGCCUCUCUUUCAUGUGCAUAUGGUCAAGUAUUAAGUUAUAGAAAGUGAGCAGAUGUUAUGUCUGCCACUGUCAGGCCAAGGCCUUUGCUUUGAGAGUACUUGUGCCUCUUUCAUGCAUUUUCCUUUCUGCCAGCUGGACCCUGGACACGGUGACUCUGCUUCAAUUAUGCAGAUGACUGAAAGCCUCUGGGGUUGGCAGAGCCACAAGAAAGAAGGUGCCUGGAUGAAGGAGAGCUACCCACUGACCUGGAUACCCAAUUACGAAAAAUACGUAUGAAAGAUCUCACAUUAUAGACUACAAAUGCCAAAUGACCCUCUGUGCUCUCACCACCCUUAACCUAGAAAUAAAAUAGAAACAACUCCUAAGGAAAUAGUCUUUAAAAUAACCAGCUAAAAUUUUUAUCAACAAUAACAAAAAAGUAGUUGGGGUUUCUGCUUAUUAAAUUAGUUUGUAUGGGUAAGCACCACCUAAGUUUUUUGAUUCAUGGCAUGUGUUUCUAAACCAAUUUACUAUCCACCAAAAAUAAAUAGUCAUCAAUAUACAAAAAGUAGUUGUAUUUCUUGACACUAGCAAUGAACCAUCUGAAAAUGAAAUUAAGAACACAAUUCCACUUACAGCAGCAUCAAAAAUAAUUAUUUAGAAAUAAAUUUAACCAAAGAAAUGCAAGACAUGUACACUGAACACUAAAAAACAUGGUUAAAAGAAUGGAAAGACAGCUCAUGUUCAUGGAUUGGAAGACUGAAUAUUGCUAAGAUGGCAGUACUCCCCAAAUUGAUUUAUAGAUUCAAUGCAAUUCCUAUCAAAAUUCCAUCUGCCUUUUUG